rnacentral:lncRNA from 1 species
CACCACCGCACCAGGCCAAAAUGGCCACUUUGGAUCAGUUUUGAGGAGAUGUUUGCUGGAUGGACGCAACUCAAACAAGAGCGAGAUAGGAUUUUUAAAUAAGUAGAGAUGCAUGGGGUGAAGAGAGGAGAGGACAGCAUUCCAGCAGAAGGAACAGCAGGUGCAAAUGCCCGGUGGUCAGAGAGAACCCGCGAAGUACCGAAGUGAGGGAGACUGGCAGGCUGUUCCUAGCAUUCGCUUCAACGACCCCUCUCAGAGCCUCUGGUGAGUCCUCACAGUCUCAGGUGGCCCAGAGGAGAGCAGAAACCAGGCUGGGAGAAGCCUGGACCCUGAAUGGCCACAGGGAGCAGAGUCUCCCUCAGCUACCUGCACCGGACCAGGACGGAUGUGGUGUCCCUUCUCACGGAGCGAAGGCACCAGCACCUGUCAGCCAGGGCUGAGUCAGGGCAGCGUGGCUGGGAGGUGGAGCGUGGUGUGAACGAGGUGAGGGACAUCGGCAGGUUAGGGACAGGCCAUGUUGGACCUUGUGGGGCCACGGGACCACGUUCUGUGAUGGGAGGUGAGUGGAAGUGACAGGAAUGACCUACAGCCCGUGUCCUCAAGGGAAGGCAGGGAGCCUUUCUUCAGGCUGUCCCCAUCCUGCAUCUGGGCCGCGUAGCAUCCUAAGGAAGGUGGAGCCUCAGAUGACCUCCCCCGUGGAGCCCCAGUUCCCUGGUGCCGUGGUCUCAUCUCUCAUUCACUUAUUCAUUCAACAACCGUCAUGAAGCCCCUCUUGUGUGACGGAAGUCACGGGGCUGGCCGUCUAAUGGACAAGAGAAACAAAUGUCCACACAAAGACUUAAUGAUACAGUCUGGUAAGUGAGACUGUAACCAAGGGGUGACAUUUACAAACGGGGUAGCCAGGAAGUUCUCUCUGGGGAAAUUUGAAGUUUUUCCCAGGGGACAAUGGAGGGAUUGUCACAGUGUCCCCUUGCCUGCUGUUCUAAAGGGCAGUGGGAAUUGCCGGAGCGUUGGUCAGCGGACGACUGGACGAGGCAGCGUCUACAGUGUCGCCUCUGGGACGCAGCCAGGCUCUGGAGCUGUGGGGCAGUCCCCUCCCCAUUGUCACCCAGAAGGAAGUAACUGACUUCUCCUUUGACCACAGAGGGAAGGGCAGGAAGGGAAGAGGUUCAGCAGGACACUCAGGUGGGAAGGAUGCCAGGGGCUCUCCAGCAAGUCCUGACCCUCGGGCAGACCAGGGAAGGCCUCCCAGGGCGGCCACGGAGUCGGCAAGGACACUUGUGGCUGCUGGGGAUUAUU